rnacentral:rRNA from 1 species
UACGAAGGGGGCUAGCGUUGCUCGGAAUCACUGGGCGUAAAGGGUGCGUAGGCGGGUCUUUAAGUCAGGGGUGAAAUCCUGGAGCUCAACUCCAGAACUGCCUUUGAUACUGAGGAUCUUGAGUCCGGGAGAGGUGAGUGGAACUCCGAGUGUAGAGGUGAAAUUCGUAGAUAUUCGGAAGAACACCAGUGGCGAAGGCGGCUCACUGGCCCGGUACUGACGCUGAGGUGCGAAAGCGUGGGGAGCAAACAGGG